CAGCCCCGAGGUGUGACCACGCCAGGUUGCAAACCUGGAGAGGCCGGAUAACUUCCGGCCGGGGCUU
rnacentral:tRNA from 1 species